AUACUCAUUUUGCCAGCACUUAUACUGAAAUUGGAAUGAUACAGGGAAGAUUAGCAUGGUCCCUGAGCAGGUUCAUGAAACAUGUUCAUGAAGCACACAGAUUCAU